UACAGAGGUCUCAAGCGUUGUUCGGAUUCAUUGGGCGUAAAGGGUGCGUAGGCGGCGCGGUAAGUCGGGUGUGAAAUUUCGGAGCUUAACUCCGAAACUGCAUUCGAUACUGCCGUGCUUGAGGACUGGAGAGGAGACUGGAAUUUACGGUGUAGCAGUGAAAUGCGUAGAGAUCGUAAGGAAGACCAGUGGCGAAGGCGGGUCUCUGGACAGUUCCUGACGGUGAGGCACGAAGGCCAGGGGAGCAAACGGG
rnacentral:rRNA from 1 species